rnacentral:rRNA from 1 species
UACGGAGGAUGCAAGCGUUAUCCGGAAUCAUUGGGCGUAAAGCGCGUGUAGGCGGCCCGGUAAGUCCGCUGUGAAAGUCGGGGGCUCAACCCUCGAAUGCCGGUGGAUACUGUCGGGCUAGAGUGCGGAAGAGGCGAGUGGAAUUCCUGGUGUAGCGGUGAAAUGCGCAGAUAUCAGGAGGAACACCUGUGGCGAAAGCGGCUCACUGGACCACAACUGACGCUGAGGCGCGGAAGCUAGGGGAGCAAACAGG